UAGAGUGAUCGAAAGAUGAAAAGCACUUUGGAAAGAGAGUCAAACAGCACGUGAAAUUGUUGAAAGGGAAGCGCUUGCAGCCAGACUUGCUUGCAGUUGCUCAUCCGGGCUUUUGCCCGGUGCACUCUUCUGUAGGCAGGCCAGCAUCAGUUUGGGCGGUAGGAUAAAGGUCUCUGUCACGUACCUCUCUUCGGGGAGGCCUUAUAGGGGAGACGACAUACUACCAGCCUGGACUGAGGUCCGCGCAUCUGCUAGGAUGCUGGCGUAAUGGCUGUAAGCGGCCCGUCUUGAAACACGGACCAAGGAGUCUAACAUCUAUGCGAGUGUUUGGGUGUCAAGCCCGAGCGCGUAAUGAAAGUGAACGGAGGUGGGAACCCGCAAGGGUGCACCAUCGACCGAUCCUGAUGUCUUCGGAAGGAUUUGAGUAAGAGCAUGGCUGUUGGGACCCGAAAGAUGGUGAACUAUGCUUGAAUAGGGUGAAGCCAGAGGAAACUCUGGUGGAGGCUCGCAGCGGUUCUGACGUGCAAAUCGAUCGUCAA
rnacentral:rRNA from 1 species